GAGUGAAGCGGCAAAAGCUCAAAUUUGAAAUCCUUCGGGAGUUGUAAUUUGUAGGUUGGGAGACCCCGCGGCUAGUGGCACCAAGUCCCUUGGAACAGGGCGCCUUAGAGGGUGAGAGCCCCGUAGGUACCACAACACCGUCUUGUGUCUCCUCUCCAAAGAGUCGAGUUGUUUGGGAAUGCAGCUCAAAGUGGGUGGUAAAUUCCAUCUAAAGCUAAAUACCGGCGAGAGACCGAUAGCGAACAAGUACAGUGAUGGAAAGAUGAAAAGCACUUUGAAAAGAGAGUGAAACAGUACGUGAAAUUGUUGAAAGGGAAGGGCUUGCAAGCAGACACGGCCUUCGUGCCGGGCCAGCAUCGGUUGCUAGGGGUGGAUAAGGAACAAGGAAUGUAGCUCCUCGGAGUAUUAUAGCCUUGCGCGAUACACCCACUGGCGACCGAGGCCUGCGGUAUUCUUUACCUAGGAUGCUGGCGUAAUGGUUGCAAGCCGCCCGUCUUAA
rnacentral:rRNA from 1 species